rnacentral:rRNA from 1 species
GACGAACGCUGGCGGCGUGCUUAACACAUGCAAGUCGAACGGAAAGGCCCUGCUUUUGUGGGGUGCUCGAGUGGCGAACGGGUGAGUAACACGUGAGUAACCUGCCCUUGACUUUGGGAUAACUUAAGGAAACUGGGGCUAAUACCGGAUAGGAGCUCCUGCUGCAUGGUGGGGGUUGGAAAGUUUCGGCGGUUGGGGAUGGACUCGCGGCUUAUCAGCUUGUUGGUGGGGUAGUGGCUUACCAAGGCUUUGACGGGUAGCCGGCCUGGGAGGGUGACCGGCCACAUUGGGACUGGGAUACGGCCCAGACUCCUACGGGAGGCAGCAGUGGGGAAUAUUGCACAAUGGGCGGAAGCCUAAUGCAGCAACGCCGCGUGCGGGAUGACGGCCUUCGGGUUGUAAACCGCUUUCGCCUGUGACGAAGCGUGAGUGACGGUAAUGGGUAAAGAAGCACCGGCUAACUACGUG